GGGCGGUCCCCUCGCAAUGUCAGGCAGUGAACCCCGCCAGGCCCGGAAGGGAGCAACGGUAAUUGCUGGUACAUGUGCCGGGGUGUGGCUGUCCGGG
rfam:Congregibacter litoralis KT71 chromosome, whole genome shotgun sequence.